rnacentral:sRNA from 1 species
ACAGAUUCGACCACCACAUCUCGUGUAAUACGAUAUUUAUCCACUCUCGGCAGUUAAAUUUUAAAUAUUUAAAACGCUCGAAAUUUGAAAAUUUAACUGUUACGAGUGGAUAAAUAUUGUAUCACACUCGAUGCAGUGAUAGAAUCUCU